GAUGAAGAACGCAGCGAAAUGCGAUAAGUAGUGUGAAUUGCAGGAUUCAGUGAAUCAUCGAAUCUUUGAACGCACAUUGCGCCCCUUGGUAUUCCAUGGGGCAUGCCUGUUCGAGCGUCAUUUGUACCUUCAAGCUCUGCUUGGUGUUGGGUGUUUGUCUCGCCUCUGCGUGUAGACUCGCCUCAAAAUAAUUGGCAGCCGGCGUAUUGAUUUCGGAGCGCAGUACAUCUCGCGCUUUGCACUCAUAACGACGACGUCCAAAAGUACAUUUUUACACUCUUGACCUCGGAUCAGGUAGGGAUACCCGCUGAACUUAAGCAUAUCAAUAAGCGGAGGA
rnacentral:misc_RNA from 1 species